rnacentral:rRNA from 1 species
AGAGUUUGAUCAUGGCUCAGAACGAACGUUGGCGGUGUGCCUAAUACAUGCAAGUCGAGCGAGAAAACCGAGGCAACUCGGUGAGUACAGCGGCGGAAGGGUGCGUAAUACAUGGUUAACGUACCCCCCAGAUCGGGAUAACUGUCCGAAAGGUCAGCUAAUACCGGGUAAUGGCAGCGGAUGGCAUCAUUUGCUGCUUAAAGACGCAAGUCACUGGGGGAGCGGACCAUGGCCUAUCAGCUAGUUGGCGGGGUAACGGCCCACCAAGGCGAUGACGGGUAGCCGAACUGAGAGGUUGAACGGCCACACGGGAACUGAGACACGGUCCCGACAUCUACGGAUGGCAGCAGUAGGGAAUCUUGCACAAUGGGCGAAAGCCUGAUGCAGCGACACCGCGUGGGGGAUGAAGGCCUUCGGGUUGUAAACCCCUUUCAUGAGGGAAGAAUACUGACCUAACCUCAGGAAGAAGCACCGGCUAACUCCGUGCCAGCAGCUGCGGUAAUACGGAGAGUGCAAACGUUGUUCGGAUUCACUGGGCGUAAAGGGCACGUAGGCGGCUCGGCAAAUCGGUCGUGGAAUCCCGACGCUUACCGUCGGAACGGCGGCCGAAAAUACCGGGCUCGAGGGCGUGAGGGGUCACUGGAACUCCUGGUGAAGCGGUGAAAUGCGUAGAUAUCAGGAGGAACGCCGGAGGCGAAAGCGAGUGACUGGCGCGUUCCUGACGCUGAGGUGCGAAAGCUAGGGGAGCAAACAGGAUUAGAUACCCUAGUAGUCC